rnacentral:misc_RNA from 1 species
GCUAAGUCCAGAUGAGCAGAAGUUUUUAGAAGCAUCGAUGGCUUAUGUUGAUGGAAAACCAAUAAUGACAGAUGCUGAAUUCAGUGACCUGAAAUUGAGGCUAAAGAAAGAAGGGAGUGAAAUUGUACAAGAAGGUCCACGAUGCAGCCUCCGGUCCAGAAAGGUGUACAGUGACUUAACUGUCGACUAUUUCAAGAUGUUAUUACUGUAUGUGCCUGCAGCUGUUAUCGCUCUGACACUAUUUUUCUUCCUGGAUGAUCUGACUGGCUUUGAGAUCACUUAUCUUUUAGAGUUACCAGAGCCAUUCAGUUUCAUUUUCACAUGGUUU